rnacentral:tRNA from 1 species
UAUUUUUCUAGUAUAAUUAGUACUACUGAUUUCCAAUCAUUAAGUUCUGGGUAAUUCCAGAGAAAAAUAA